CACUUGCAUGUUACAUGGGCACAUUUCCGGAGUUCAUGCCUCCAGCUCUGAAGUGGAAAGAGAAGUGGCCUAUUCAGUAAAUCAAGGCAUGACUGAGGAGUUGGACUUUGGAUGAAGAACCACAACUAUAAGGGUUCAGGAUACUUAUAUCCCCCAGGAGGGACCCUGGUGGAAAUAAGCAAAGUUGAUCCUAAAGUAAUGCAGCUCUGAAGCUCACCUGACCAGCUGUACAGUUCCCAUUGUUGCAAAUCAUUUUGUCACAUUUUAUGUAAAA
rnacentral:lncRNA from 1 species